rnacentral:rRNA from 1 species
CAGUAGCCGCGGUAAUACGAGGGGGGCAAGCGUUGUUCGGAAUUAUUGGGCGUAAAGGGUGCGUAGGCGGCUUGACAAGUCUUGUGUGAAAUCUUUGGGCUCAACCCAUAGUCUGCACGGGAAACUGUCGGGCUUGAGAAUGGGAGAGGUGAGUGGAAUUUCCGGUGUAGCGGUAAAAUGCGUAGAUAUCGGAAGGAACACCUGUGGCGAAAGCGGCUCACUGGACCAUUUCUGACGCUGAUGCACGAAAGCUAGGGGAGCAAACAGGAUUAGAUACCCGAGUAGUCCCUGUCUCUUAUAA